rnacentral:rRNA from 1 species
GACGGAGGAUGCAAGCGUUAUCCGGAAUUAUUGGGCGUAAAGGGUGCGUAGGUGGUCGGAAAAGUCCCAUGUCAAAGCAUGGUGCUUAACGCCAUAAAGGAGUGGGAAACUGUCGGACUAGAGUACAGCAGGGGCAGGAGGAAUUCCCGGUGUAGCGGUGAAAUGCGUAGAGAUCGGGAAGAACACCAGUGGCGCAAGCGUUCUGCUGGGCUGUAACUGACACUGAGGCACGAAAGCUAGGGGAGCGAAAGGG